rnacentral:lncRNA from 1 species
ACGAUAUCUCACCGUCACGGAGGUAAAGGUGGGUAGAAAAACACAAAAAGACCAAUGGAGCAUAAUUUACAACAAACUCGUUUAUUAACAUGAAAACAUUUACCAUCCACUUACCUCGGUGGAAUUUAUGAAAACAAUAUAAGAAAAACAAUAACAUUAUCAUAAUCAUUGAAUAAUAUAAGCUGUAAAACAUAACACUUAUCACGCCUCUUGUAAUUCAAUCAUUGUACAACAUAUCCUUUUCUUAUUUACCAGCCUACUAGUAUCCGUGGGGGUCCAUAGGGGUUCCGCUACCCGUUAACCUUUAACAUUCAUAAUCAGUUUCCAGGGCCGUCCCCAUACCCCGUCCGGUAUGGGCGCCAAAACCAUGAACCUCAAUACCCCGUCCGGUAUGAGGGUGAAACGGGCCGUCCCCAUACCCCGUCCGGUAUGGGCGCCAAAACCAUAAACCUCAAUACCCCGUCCGGUAUGGGCGCCAAAACCAUAAGAUCUCCAUACCCCGUCCGGCAUGUGAGACCACAAUCCCGGUAGGGUU